ensembl:snoRNA
ACCCCUUUCAAAGCACUCGCUGGGGCUGCGAGUGACCCAGUGAGCUGUCUGGAAGGGGCAGAGCAAGUGACACCGCUCAUGGGUGAAGCGGCAGUGUGCUGUACCGUCCGGAUUCAGUUGGUGGUGUGACAACG